rnacentral:rRNA from 1 species
UUUGAGCGGAGGACAACAUUUGGAAACGAAUGCUAAUACCGCAUAAAAACUUUAAACACAAGUUUUAAGUUUGAAAGAUGCAAUUGCAUCACUCAAAGAUGAUCCCGCGUUGUAUUAGCUAGUUGGUGAGGUAAAGGCUCACCAAGGCGAUGAUACAUAGCCGACCUGAGAGGGUGAUCGGCCACAUUGGGACUGAGACACGGCCCAAACUCCUACGGGAGGCAGCAGUAGGGAAUCUUCGGCAAUGGACGAAAGUCUGACCGAGCAACGCCGCGUGAGUGAAGAAGGUUUUCGGAUCGUAAAACUCUGUUGGUAGAGAAGAACGUUGGUGAGAGUGGAAAGCUCAUCAAGUGACGGUAACUACCCAGAAAGGGACGGCUAACUACGUGCCAGCAGCCGCGGUAAUACGUAGGUCCCGAGCGUUGUCCGGAUUUAUUGGGCGUAAAGCGAGCGCAGGUGGUUUAUUAAGUCUGGUGUAAAAGGCAGUGGCUCAACCAUUGUAUGCAUUGGAAACUGGUAGACUUGAGUGCAGGAGAGGAGAGUGGAAUUCCAUGUGUAGCGGUGAAAUGCGUAGAUAUAUGGAGGAACACCGGUGGCGAAAGCGGCUCUCUGGCCUGUAACUGACACUGAGGCUCGAAAGCGUGGGGAGCAAACAGGAUUAGAUACCCUGGUAGUCCACGCCGUAAACGAUGAGUGCUAGAUGUAGGGAGCUAUAAGUUCUCUGUAUCGCAGCUAAC